GGUUAAGACACCGCCCUUUCACGGCGGUAACACGGGUUCGAAUCCCGUACGGAUCA
rnacentral:tRNA from 3 species